rnacentral:rRNA from 1 species
UACGGAGGAUGCGAGCGUUAUCCGGAUUUAUUGGGUUUAAAGGGUGCGUAGGCGGCUUUUUAAGUCAGCGGUGAAAUUUUGCAGCUUAACUGUAACAGUGCCGUUGAUACUGGGGAGCUAGGAUUUGGUUGCUGUGGGUGGAAUGUGUGGUGUAGCGGUGAAAUGCAUAGAUAUUACACAGAACACCGAUUGCGAAGGCAGCUUACUAAUCCAUCAUUGACGCUGAGGCACGAAAGCGUGGGGAUCAAACAGGAUUAGAUA